rnacentral:rRNA from 1 species
UACGAAGGGGGCGAGCGUUGUUCGGAUUUACUGGGCGUAAAGGGCGCGCAGGCGGCCGCAUUUGUCAGGCGUGAAAGCCCCGGGCUUAACCUGGGAACUGCGUUUGAUACGGUGUGGCUAGAGUUCGGGAGAGGAGAGUGGAAUUCCCAGUGUAGAGGUGAAAUUCGUAGAUAUUGGGAAGAACACCGGUGGCGAAGGCGACUCACUGGACACAUAUUGACGCUGAGGUGCGAAAGCGUGGGGAGCAAACAGG